rnacentral:misc_RNA from 1 species
AAACUUCUCUGCUGCAGAUAGCUACCCAUCUUUCUCAGCUUUGCUCAGAAACCCAUCUUCCUUGCUCAGAUAAAGAGAGACAUUAUACUUAAAUACCCUUUAAUAUAAACCCAUCUUCCUCAUCUAUGCCUUCAUUCUCUCUCGUCAACCUGAGGCAGCCUUCCUUCCCCACCUCUCCUCCUCACAGUCUUCCAAAUCGCACCUCGUCGGCCUCCUCGCCUCAUGAAAGAUAACGAAUAAUCCAAGCUUGUGAUUCUGGAUUUCUGAUACUUAGCGACAUGAUCGUCUUCCAUAUCAUGGCCA